CCUGACUCCUUGGUGGUCUUUGGGGACUUCACGACUUGGGCAUAACAAUACCAGAACAUCUACCAUGGAGAGCACGCAGCUCACAGUUUUGCAUUUUCACAGAACCAGCAGCUUCUGCUGUGACUGUCUGCUGGUCAUCGCCCUCGGCAGAAGCCAGGACGCGGCCCAUCAGCCUCAGUGGAUGGUGCCUGUAGGACCUGUGUCAUUAUUGAUGCCACAGUUUUCUUUCAUCAAUUCUGACCUAAACGAAGUUAAAGACGUCACAUCAUGGAGAUCUCCACACCGAUGCUUAUGACAGCACAACUCACAACACCUAGGUCAUGGAUGUAGCCUGUGUCCAGCAGCAGAAGAAUAGAUACAGAAAAUGUGGUGUCUAUGCUGGUGGGCACUACUCGGUCACGAAGAGAAUGAACCCGAGUCAUUUGUAGGAAAACGGGUGCACCUUGAAAACAUAAUGUUAAAUGAAAUAAAUUAGACUAGAAACUUGAGUACCGCAUAGUUUCUCUCAUGCGAGAAAUCCAUUGUCCAAAUAAAGAACAAAAUAAAAGAUAGACAAAAGGAGGCAGAAAGAUGGAUCUUUUGCGCAUGGGGAGGGGAAGAGGAGGGAAAUGCGAAAGACUCGUGACAUGCCGUGUGUGUACGAGUCGCCGUGCAGGACGUGCUGGCUGUGGGUCACGCGGGAACUCUCAGAAGAGGACACAGAAGUGACAGGGAGAGCCGGGGUGAGGGCAGCGGAGAGGGCUGAGGACUGCUGAGGACGGCGCCUGCUGCUGAGGGGACAACCAUCCCAUGCUGCGAAAGACUUACAGGGAACUCGGGCGCAAUCCUGACAUCUUCUCCAGUGUUGCCC
rnacentral:lncRNA from 1 species